UACGUAGGGUGCAAGCGUUGUCCGGAAUUAUUGGGCGUAAAGAGCUCGUAGGCGGUUUGUCGCGUCUGCUGUGAAAACUCGGGGCUUAACUCCGGGCCUGCAGUGGGUACGGGCAGACUAGAGUGCGGUAGGGGAGACUGGAAUUCCUGGUGUAGCGGUGAAAUGCGCAGAUAUUGGGAAGAACACCGGUGGCGAAAGCGCCUUGCUGGGUCUGCACUGACACUGAGGGACGAAAGCUAGGGGAGCGAAAGGG
rnacentral:rRNA from 1 species